GCUUUAUCUUCUUUCUUGGCGAGUUACUUUCUCACACUCUGGAGUCUGAAAGGCAGUAUAAGACAAGCCUGUCAAUAGGAAUUCAUGUCUCCUCACCCCACUUGUAGGGUGUGUCUACAUUGGAGAAUUAAUCCAGAAAACCCAUCUUGGAAUAGGAGAGAUGCUGACCUAAACAUUACAAGAGCCAACAAAAGCUGACUUUCAUUUGUGGAUGUGUAAGCUUUCAGCUGUUCUUGGCAGUGGAGACCCAUGGAUGACCUUUCCCAGACAAAGGGAACAAACGCAGUGACUAAUAUUUGAAGUAGGAAGCAAAAGGCUUGAGUACCUCGACUCAGAGUGAUAUGGCAGAACAAUGUUAAAGGUGAUGUGCCACGUUUUUGUGUUGGAUGUUUUCAAGCAGGUUUUAGUGUAUUUGAAAUGGUUUUAUUUACCUUCUUUUAACAGUACUGUUUUGUAAUAUAACAUUUUAGCUCACCUGUAUUUUGAAUUAGUGUAGACUAUGUCAUUCUCUGGUAGGUAUAAUAAACACAAUCAUAGAAAGAUAAAGCUGCAAAAAAGAACAAGCAAUAUCCUCAUCAUCCUAUCUCAGUGAUUACUUGAUACAAGUGUUGAUACUUCCUUAUUUCCAGCACAAAAUGGUGAAAUAACAAGGAGGGCAGUCAUGGAGCCUCAGGGCCAUAUUUUGCUUACCUCUUCAGUACAUGAAUGAUCCUUGGGAUGGUACUUUCCCUUAUAUGCCCUCCUUCCUGUUUUUCCAGUUCAUUUUCUUUCUGCUUACUGAACAUUAAAAUUUUCAUGAAUUGUGCU
rnacentral:lncRNA from 11 species